rnacentral:rRNA from 1 species
UGGGGGAUAUUGCGCAAUGGGGGCAACCCUGACGUAGCAACGCCGCGUGAAGGAUGAAGGUUUUCGGAUUGUAAACUUCUUUUAUUAAGGACGAAAAAUGACGGUACUUAAUGAAUAAGCUCCGGCUAACUACGUGCCAGCAGCCGCGGUAAUACGUAGGGAGCAAGCGUUGUCCGGAUUUACUGGGUGUAAAGGGUGCGUAGGCGGCUUUGCAAGUCAGAUGUGAAAUCUAUGGGCUCAACCCAUAAACUGCAUUUGAAACUGUAGAGCCUGAGUGAAGUAGAGGCAGGCGGAAUUCCCCGUGUAGCGGUGAAAUGCGUAGAGAUGGGGAGGAACACCAGUGGCGAAGGCGGCCUGCUGGGCUUUAACUGACGCUGAGGCACGAAAGCGUGGGUAGCAAACAGGAUUAGAUACCCUGGUAGUCCACGCUGUAAACGAUGAUUACUAGGUGUGGGGGGUCUGACCCCUUCCGUGCCGGAGUUAACACAAUAAGUAAUCCACCUGGGGAGUACGGCCGCAAGGUUGAAACUCAAAGGAAUUGACGGGGGCCCGCACAAGCAGUGGAGUAUGUGGUUUAAUUCGAAGCAACGCGAAGAACCUUACCAGGUCUUGACAUCCAACUAACGAAGUAGAGAUACAUUAGGUGCCCUUCGGGGAAAGUUGAGACAGGUGGUGCAUGGUUGUCGUCAGCUCGUGUCGUGAGAUGUUGGGUUAAGUCCCGCAACGAGCGCAACCCUUGCUAUUAGUUGCUACGCAAGAGCACUCUAAUAGGACUGCCGUUGACAAAACGGAGGAAGGUGGGGACGACGUCAAAUCAUCAUGCCCCUUAUGACCUGGGCUACACACGUACUACAAUGGAUGUUAACAGAGGGAAGCAAGACAGCGAUGUGGAGCAAACCCCUAAAAACAUUCUCAGUUCAGAUUGCAGGCUGCAACCCGCCUGCAUGAAGAUGGAAUUGCUAGUAAUCGCGGAUCAGCAUGCCGCGGUGAAUACGUUCCC